rnacentral:lncRNA from 1 species
UUUGAUUCGAUGUGCGUGAGCUUGGUUUUGGCGGUGAGCAACUCGAUUGGUGGCUUGGUGAAUUCUGAUUUAAUUUGUGGGGAUUGGAUUUGAGCCUGGAUGCAGGUAAUAGAGUGCGGUGGCGAUGUCAUGUGCAACAAGAGCCAGCGCAAUCACUCGGCAGCAGCCUCCACAGCUCGUCCGCCGGCUGCACGGUGACCGCCUCGACCAACUUCUCGUCCUCUGGCAUGGCAGUAGCAUGAUAAACUCGGCUGUCGGCCGCUGAUGGUCGAGGCCCCCGUGGAUGCGGGUAGCAUUGGGGCACCCUGCGGGACCGGAGGUUAGCGAUGACCGGCGAGGUGGCUGCGACGAGGGGCAGCGAUGGGAAGGGGCGAACGGCACACCCUGGCUAGGAAGAAGCAGCAGCAUAGGGAAGAGAGAUUUGGGAAAGAAUACUUGUUCACAGGCUCACGGGUGGUGACCGCGGCUUCUUACCCGCCGCUCGAGCGAACCAGGCUCGCGUGGAACGACCAAAUUCUCCGUUCCACGCGGUGCAGCUUUUUUCAUCCGAUGAACCAAGCUCUUCAGGCUACCGAAGACGUCGAAAGUCAAAGAUGCUGCAUCCACAGAUGCAGCGCUGGCUAGGUACAGGCUGCCAAUCGCCCCCUCAGGCGCCUGAGGCCUGACUCGCUGCGAGCCCGGUCGCGCAGCGUCGUCGUCUGCGCACAGGCCCUCCUGGCCUUCCGUCCGUGCGGCCGGCUCAGAAACCCACGCCCCACCACGUGAAGGGACGGAGCUGAGCCCGGCCGCCGGCCGGCGUCAGCGUACGGCGGCACCGAUCGAUCCACCCCCACAGGCGGCUGCGGAGAAGAUCGCGUCGCCAGUCGCCGCCAUGUCGUGGCGUCACGGCACUGUUGCAUUGCAACGCAGCGGCGUCGCGCG